AAUGAACGUUGGCGGCGUGGAUUAGGCAUGCAAGUCGCGCGAUUUCCUUCGGGGAAGAGCGGCGGAAGGGAGAGUAACGCGUAGAUACCUACCCUCGGGACCGGAAUAGCGACGGGAAACUGUCGGUAAUGCCGGAUAACGUCCCUGGACCAAAGGUGUGAAUCCGCCUGAGGAGGGGUCUGCGUCCUAUAACUAGUCGGCGGGGUAACGGCCCACCGAGGCGAAGAUGGGUACCGGGCGUGAGAGCGUGACCCGGCUCACUGGGACUGAGACACUGACCAGACACCUACGGGUGGCUGCAGUCGAGAAUCUUCGGCAAUGAGCGCAAGCUGGACCGAGCGACGCCGCGUGCGGGAUGAAGGCUUUCGGGUUGUAAACCGCUGUCAGUGGGGAGGAAAUUCUUGGGGGAACUCCCCCUUGAUUGACCGAUCCGCAGAGGAAGGACGGGCUAAGUUCGUGCCAGCCGCCGCUGUAAAAC
rnacentral:rRNA from 1 species